rnacentral:rRNA from 1 species
UACGAAGGGGGCUAGCGUUGUUCGGAUUUACUGGGCGUAAAGCGCACGUAGGCGGAUCGAUCAGUCAGGGGUGAAAUCCCAGAGCUCAACUCUGGAACUGCCUUUGAUACUGAAGAUCUUGAGUUCGGGAGAGGUGAGUGGAACUGCGAGUGUAGAGGUGAAAUUCGUAGAUAUUCGCAAGAACACCAGUGGCGAAGGCGGCUCACUGGCCCGAUACUGACGCUGAGGCGCGAAAGCGUGGGGAGCAAACAGG